rnacentral:rRNA from 1 species
AUUAAGUUUAAUUUAAUAUAGGAUCUGCUCAAUGAUUUAUUAAAUAGCUGCAGUAUUUUGACUGUGCAAAGGUAGCAUAAUAAUUAGUCUUUUAAUUGAGGACUUGUAUGAAAGAUUUGAUGAGAAAUAAACUUUAUUAUUUAUAUAAUUAAAAUUUUAUUUUUAAGUAAAAAAGCUUAAAUUAUUUAAAGGGACGAUAAGACCCUAUAAAACUUUAUAAAUAUUAAUUUUAAUUUUUUUGGAUUUAUAAAUAUUUUAAUUUUAUUAUUUAUUUUAUUGGGGUGAUAAAAAAAAUUAUUAAACUUUUUUUAAAUUUUUACAUUAUUUAAUGGUUAUUUGAAUUAAAAUUUUUAAUUAAAGGAAAAAGUUACUUUAGGGAUAACAGCGUAAUUAAUUUUUUAAGUUCAAAUUUAAAAAUUAGUUUGCGACCUCGAUGUUGAAUUAAGAUUAAUCUUAGGUGCAAAAUUUUAAGUAUUAGGUCUGUUCGACCUUUAAAUUCUUACGUGA